rnacentral:lncRNA from 1 species
UGGAAAUAAUUUAUGAAUAGAAAAAUAAUAAUAAUCUGGAAACACAACUUCCAUUGACAAUCUAGUCUGACAAAGCCUCUACUACUCGAACUGGAGAUCCAUUGGGACAGACCCCAACUGACUCACUAUAACCUGAAAGUAAACUCAAAACACUGUGAAAAUGGGAAAGCUACAAAUAUAGGUCCUCAAACCAUAAGGACUCUCCAACCGUCGAAUGUAGACAAAGGUACUAAGGAAUCACGGUCACUGCUGAGGCUGAGCACCUGAACCUACAUUAUGAGACAAUGUAGCACAUAGACGUGUAUGUGGAUCAGCACUUUGGGAAUGUAUUGAGUAUAUAGGGGUGUAUGCAUUUACAUGAAACAAUAUUAAUACUUUUUAAUAAAAUCAUGCAUACAAAUAGGAAUGACUCACAUUGCUUGAAUAAGUCUAAAAUAUAAAACUCAUAAAUCAUAAAUAGUGAAACAUGUAACACAAAUCUCGUGAGCCAUUAUAUUUAGCUUUAAAAUCUGCUUUAAAUCUAUACUCUCCUCUUAUUAUCAGUACUUGAAGCCUAAAAGAAGCUUUAAAUAAUACUUUCAAACUCAUACUUUUAUCUUGUGGAGAGUAAAACUUCUUUAAAACUUAAGGACUUAGAACUUUAGGAAAUUUUAACACUUGGGAACUCUGGAACUCUAUUAGACUCGGGACACUUGGAACUCGGAAGUUUCUUCUAACUAACAUAAAACAUGUGAGCUACAUGGAGUCCAAUGUCUAGCCCACGUUGGGGAGAGUUGUUCUAUCCUUGUCAUCAGAGUAGAACCUCAUCUUUAGUGAUGACUUAUCUUAACCCACUUUGAGUUAAUCAGAAACCUAUGGUGGCAUGUAGUUUGGGACAUGAGAUCUUGGAAUCAAAUCCAACUUGGUGCUAAAUACUACUCCCAUACUCAACUCAGAACAUUUAGGAAAUCUACCUCAAAAUAACUCAAGGAUCUAUAAUGAAGACUAAAAUAUAUUACUCUUUGCUUUUAAUCAUAAUCAAAUAUGGAUUCCUAUCUUAGCUUAGACCCAAGGGGUCAAAUCUUUAACUAAAAUCUAAAAAUAGCUUAGUUAUGGGGUACUCAUGACACAAACAGUCUUGAACAAUAAAUCUUAAAAUGGGGGUCUAUUGACCCAAACAGUAAAUCUCAAGUCACUUUGAAAGUCAUUCCUAAAUCUUUUAGAGAUGGAAUAAGGCUUCACUUGACAUGUUCUAAAGGCUCAGACUAUGAGGAAACUUUAUGGGGUCUUACAAUAUCUCCCCCUUGGAAACAUUCAUCCUCAAAUAUUGCUAGUUAGACUAAAAGUACAGAGAAAUCAGGGAAUGCAUAGAUGAGAUAAUUCGCUAAACUGAUUCUAUAUAGUUCUAAACAUUUGAAUACUUCGGUAAGUGCAAGAUCUUACACAAGAAUAGAUACAUAGAUGAACUUUGAUUGGAAAGGAAUUGAAUUUAGAAAAAAAAAUAACUUCGGCCUGAUCUGAAGUUGUGGAGAAAAGGUUCAGGUACUUCGCUCGCAUAUCUGCUUCCUUUUCCCAAGUAGUGCCCUCAACUGAUUGCGCCAUAAAACUUUGACCAAGGGAACUUCUUUGUUAUUUAGUCUACGGACCUGGUAAUCUAGGAUCUCAAUCGGAAUCUCAUCAAAUGAAAGACUAGUCUGGAUAUCUGAGCUCUCUAAAGGAUCUACUAUAACAAAAUCACCAAUGUGUUUCUUAAUCAUGGAGACAUGAAAGAUAGGAUAAAUAGUUGACAACUCUGCGGGCAACUUAACUUUAUAGGCUACUUUCUCGAGAUGGCUCAAAACUCAAUAAGGUCCAACAUAACGGGGACUAAACUUUCCUUUUUCCCAAACCUUUUCACUCCUUUCAUGGGUGAAAUCUUCAAGUACAUCAAAUCACCCACCUCAAACUCAAGAUCUCUUCUCCUCACAUCGGUAUAUGACUUUUGACGACUCUGAACUGUCUUUAACCUUUCCCUAAUCAACCUAACUUUAUCCAUAGCCUUAAACACUGUAUCACACCUAAUCACAACAGCUUCACCCACUUCAAACCAACCUAUGGGUGAUCUACAUCUUCUACUAUACACAGCCUCAAAUGGUGCCAUUUUGAUGCUAGCAUGGUAACUAUUGUUAUAGGAAAACUCAAUCAAUGAUAAGUGCUCAUCCCAACUACCUUUGAAAUCAAGGGAACACUCUCUUAGCAUAGCUUCUAAAGUCUGGAUGGUCCUCUCAAUCUGACCAUCUGUCUGCAGAUGAAAAGCGAAACUCAAAUGAGUACCCCUAUUCGAGAUGAUGGAUAAGGGAAAUCUAUACAACCUGACUAACUCCCGGAUAUAUAAUCUAGCAUAAUCCUCAGUAUUAUAAGAUGUAUGCACUAGCAGAAAAUGUAAGGACUUAGUCAACCUGUCUAUAAAAGCCCAAAUAGAAUCAUGAUGACGACGCGAAAGAGGUAAACUAGUUACGAAAUCCAUGUUCACCUCUUCCCACUUCCAAGUGGGCAUACCAAACUCUUGCAACUUACCACCAAGUAUUUGGUGCUCUACAUUAACCUGUUGUAAUAUUUCACACUUUGCCACAAACUCUGCUAUAUAUUUCUUCAUGCCACUCCACCAAUAGAUUUCCCGUAAGUCGCAAUACAUCUUGGUAGUGCCGGGAUGAAUAGAAUAUCGUGCGCUAUUCGCUUCAGCCAUAAUUCUCUGCCUCAGAUCAUCAACACAAGGAAUACAUAAUCUACUCUACAAUCUCAACACUACAUCUCCUCCUUAGGAGAAAACCUCUACCUUUUGGUCCUUAAUUGACUCCUUCAGCCUGACCAAACUAGGAUCCCUGUCUUAAUUCUCCUUUACUUCUUAAACUAAAGAGGAUUCAGAACUACUCUGAAACUAAACAUUACCUUCAGGGGAGUCAAGCAACCUAAUACCCAUCCUAUCCAAAUGAUGCACUUCAUGAGCCUAUUAUUUCUUAUCUUCCUCCACAUGAUCCACACUACCCAUAGACAAUCUACUAAGGGCAUCUGCCACUACAUUGGCCUUGCUCAGAUGGUACAGCACGCUUAUAUCAUAAUCUUUAGAAACUCUAACUAUCUCUUCUAGCGAAGAUUCAACUCCCUCUGAGAAAUCACAUACUGCAAGCUUUUGUGGUCCGUAAACACAUCAACAUGAACACAAAACAGAUAGUGUCUCCAUAUUUUCAAAGCAAAAACCAUAUCAACUAAUUCAAGAUUAUGGGUUGGGUAAUUCUUUUUAUGCGGCUUCAACUGUCUAGAGUCAUAUGCUAUAACCUUACCUUUCUGCAUCAGUACACAACCUAAACCAACUCUAGAGGCAUCAUAAUACACCAUAAAACCAUCUGUACCAUCAGGUAAGGUCAAUACAGGGGCUGAAGUGAGUUGAGUUUUCCACUCCUAAAAACUCUUCUCACAAGAAUCUGACCAAAGGAACAUAACUUUCUUUUGGGUCAACCGGGUCAUGGGGGAUGCAAUAGAAGAGAAACUUUCAACAAAACAGCGGUAGUAGCUAGCUAGACCCAAGAAACUUCUAAUGUCAAAUGGAGAUAUAGGUCUAGGCCAAUUUCUUACAGCUUCUAUCUUUUAGGGAUGGACUCUAAUGCCUUCGGUUGAAAUAAUAUGACCCAGAAAAGUUACAGACCUUAGCCAAAACUCACACUUAUUGAAUUUGGUGAACAACUGAUGAUCUCUAAAAGUCUGCAGGAAAAUUCUAAGAUGAUCUGCAUGGUCAUUCUUAGUGCGGGAGUAAACAAGGAUAUCAUCUAUGAACACUAUAAUAAACAUAUCAAGAUACUGCUUGAACACUCGAUUCAUGAGGUCCAUGAAAGCCGCUGGAGCAUUGGUUAGCCUGAAAGACAUGACUAGAAACUCAAAGUGACUAUAACGGGUUCUGAAGGCUAUCUUUGGGAUAUCACACUCUCUUACUUUAAGUUGAUGAUGGCUGGAUCUAAGGUCUACAUUAGAGAAAUAACUUGCACCUUGCAACUGAUCAAAUAGGUCAUCAAUUCUCGGAAGAGGGUACUUAUUCUUAAUUGUGACCUUGUUAAGCUGAUGAUAGUCAAUGCAUAUACACAAAGAACAAUCUUUCUUUCGCACAAAUAUGAUGGGUGCUCCCCAAAAAGAGACACUGGGCCUUAUGAAACCUUUAUCUAAAAGAUCUUUGAGUAGUUCUUUCAACUCUUUAAGCUCUACAGGUGCCAUACAGUAGAGAGGAAUAGAAAUAGGCUGAGUGUUGGAAAGAAGGUCGAUCCUGAAUUCUAUCUCUUUAUUGGGAGGUACCCUUGGGAAAUCUUCCAAAAAACAUCAGGAAACUCAUUAACAAUGUUUGCUGACUAAAUAGUUGAAGUCUCGGACUUAGUGUAUUUAACUCUAACUAGGUGAUAGAUGUAAACUUUUGAUAUUAGCUUUUUUCUUUGAGAUAGGAGAUAAAAUGACUCUUGGGAGAUACUGAACUCUCAGACCACUCAAAAACUAGUUCAUCAUGAAACUGAAACUUGACCACACGGGUAUGAAAGUCUAUAGAUGCAUAACAAGAAUAAAGCCAAUCCAUACCCAGAAUAAGGUCAAAAUCCACCAUGUCCAACUCUAUCAAAUUUGCAAGUAUGAGUCUAUGAAGAAAAGUGAUGGGGCACUUUUUAUACACUUGCUUAGCAACAACUGACUCACCUAAUAGAGUAGAAACUAGGAAACGCUCAGGAAUUUUCUUGGGACUCAUGUCAAAGUUCACAGCUACAAGUGGGGUCACAUAAGAGAAACUUGUCUCGGGGUCCAACAACACAUAAACAUCAAAGUGAAAUACACGGAGCAUACCAGUAACAACAUCAGAAGAAUUCUCCUACCCCUGGUAGGAUGGUAAGACAUAGAAUCUGCUCUGGCACUGACCGCCGGUAAUACUUGAUGAAGCGCCCUACGGAGAAGCUGGACGGGAUAAGAAAGUUGGGGAAAUAGUAGGUUGUGUCUGAGGUUGCACAUCUCUGUUCCCCUGCCUAGCGUGCGGGCACUCUCUAAGUUUGUGGCCCAUCUUUCCACAACCAAAAAAACCCGUCUGUUUGGCUAAACACUCAUCGGUAUGGGUCCUAACACAUUUAGCACAAAAAGGAUAAUUAGGCUUGUUACUUACACUAUUCUGUGACCUAGACAUAGAAGGACCAUUUCCUUGCUCCUGCCUAUUUUUAGGUGCGGGAGCACUAUCUGAUAAAGGAGCUGGCAUAGAUAAACAGCUCCAAAAAUAUAGACAGUUCCCUUCAUGGGACCUAGUCUGACCAUACUCAUGCUGCUCGGAUCUAGUCCUCUUGUUCCCCUUACUCUAUCCCUUUCCCUUAUCUUGUCUACCUCUAUCUAUUAUGCAUACAUCAUCAGUCGGGAAAAAUCUAUAUCCCUAUUGAUCAUAGUAGUCCUACACUCUUUUAGCACCAAACCAGACACACCUAUCACGAACUUGCUCAUACUAGUUCGGCUGCCAGCAAUCAAAUCAGGAGCAUACUUGGCUAACUGGUUGAACUUCAAGCAGUACUCCUUAACAGUCAUGGAUCCCUGUCUCAAGUUCAUAAACUCGUCUAUCUUUUCUUCCCUCAUCUUUAAUAGGAAGAACUUGUCCAAGAACGCAUCUAAGAACACCUACCAAAUAACAGGGACAGCAUCAUCCCCUAUAUUCUUUCUCCAUGAAACAACCCAAUCAUAAGCAAUGUUUUUCAGAUGAUAAGAUGCCAGCUCUACACUCGUCCUCAAAAAUAUGCAUGACAUGGGUGAUCUUCCUCACCUCCUCAAGAUACAACUUCGGGUCCUCCAAACCUUAGGCCCAUAAAAUUCUGGCAGAUUCAUCCAUAUAAAAUCAAAAAUCCUAGCAGUAGCUAAGUCACCUCCAUGCUGAUGUGGAACUAUAAUGGUUAUUGGCCUGAACAUUCACUGUGACUGCUUGGGAUAAUGCUUGAAAGGCCUCCCUAAACUCAGCAUGAGACACAGUCUCAUUCAAGGGAUCAACAGACUGAGGUUUCUUGUUAUUAUUUUUGCAGGCAUUCACUCUUUGGGAAGGCAUUUUAAGAAAUAAUAGAGCAUUAAUUAAUAACUGAGAGAGAUAACUAUUAGCAUAAUAGAUUCUGAAUAAAAGAGAUGACUUUUUCCUAAGACAUCUUGUAGCCUCUUGCUCAAAGAUAUGGCGCGCUACACUCAGAUGAUCAAGACUCUACGUAAUGCGGCUUUUCAGAAUCCUUAGGACUUCUUAAACCUUAGGCUCUGAUACCAAGUUUGUAACGCCCCGAAAUCUCAUCAUGAGAUGUCAUACGAUGCUUAAGGCUACAAGUAACCCUAAGCUAACCCUUUGAGCCUGUUGCUACUUCUAACACUUGCUUUAGGAUAAAUAAGCUAAACAAUGAUACUUUAUUAGGUCAACUAUAAUCCAAAAUAACUGGAAAUAAUGUCUGAAUAGCAAAAGACUAAUAAUAUGGAAACACAACUUCAACUGACAGUCUAGUCUGAAGAAGCCUCUACUACUCGAAUUAGAGAGCCAUUGGGAUAAACCCCAACUGACUCACUAUGACAUGAAAUUAAAACUCAAAACACUAAGAAAAUGGGAAAGUUGCAAAUAUAGGUCCAUAAACCAUAAGGACUCUGAUGAUAGGCGAAAUUACGCGCCUAUAUCAAUAUAUUUUGCCCAUAUUUUAGCCUAGUUUCGAGAACUAAUUAUCUAUUUCGUACACUUUUAGUCCUUUUUCCUGUAAAUGAGCUAACAAAUGUGAUUAGGAAAGUUUCAGGUAUAAAUGAUGCAAAAUACAGCAAUUUAUGGCUUACUUGACGCAAAAGAAAGCUCACAAACGAGAUGGAAAGGAGCUGGACGCAUAAAGGACUAAAUCUGCUGCAUGGAAAAUCUGUCCCGGGCUAAAACAGCAUUUCUGAAGACUUUGGGACUUACAGACACAAAGCUGGAUUUUUGCCAUAAUACAUUAACCUAGUGCAAUUAGGUUAUGUGUUUCAUCAUUCUAUUUGGAUUAUAAUUUUGUAACCUUACCCUAGUACAAUUGGGUCAAGGAUUUCAUUAGUAUAUUAGGAUUUGGUUUCCAAAGCUUAUAUCUGGUCUGGUGAUUGACAAAUAUUGAAGCUUACUAAGUACUUGACGAUACAAAGUGGCAUCCGCCGGAGGUGUGUCAUCCUUUAAGGAUAGUGAGGCCAUGGAACUCAUGGGAGUUGUAACAGGCUUACAUUCAGACAUUUUAUGGGAAGCAAGAAGAUCAGAAACAUACUUAGCCUGAGAAAGGACGAUCCUUUCUUUAGUGCGGAGAACUUCAAUACCCAAAAGUAGUUGAGAUGUUCAAGGUCUUUGAGAAAGAAUUUAGCUAAAAGAACUUGGAUAUUUUUCUUGAUAACCUCAGAGUUCGAUCUAGCGAUAAUUAUGUCAUCAACAUAUACAAGAAUGUAGACCAAUGCUUCAUUUUGAUGACGAAUAAAUUGAGAAGAGUCAGAGUUAGACUUUUGAAAGCCAAUUUGAAGUAAGAAUUGCUUUAACUCCGAGUACCAGGCUCGAGGGGCCUGCUUAAGUCCAAAAAUUUCUUUUUUAAUUUGUACACAUAAUGAGGAAAAUAAGAAUGAGCAUACCCAUGAGGUUGACGCAUAUAAAUAUCUUCUUCAAGGUGUCCUUGAAGAAAUGCGUUAUUCAUCUAUAGUUGGUGCAAAUGCCAAUUGUGCUGAACUGCAAGCAACAAAAUGAGUCUAACAGUAAUAGAUUUUACCACUGGAGUGAAUGUAGAGUUAUAAUCCACACUCGUUCAUUACGUGAAGCCCUUUGCAACUAGCCAAGUUUUAUACACGUCAACACUUCCAUCUGAUUUGGUUUUGAUACGAUAGAGCCCUUUACAAUCAACAACAUUUUGAGAAAAGGAUGGAGGUACAAGAUCUCACGUCUUGCUGUUCAUCGAUGCUUCAAACCCAAGUUUCAUCACUUCUUUCCAGUGUGUACUCUUUUGGACUUGGUUAUAAGUGGUGGGAGUGGUUCAGUUAAUGCAACUACAAGAUAAUUAGAUUCUUGCUUGGGUUUGGUGAUGUUAUUUUGUAAACGAGUAACACAUCUGUGAAUGGAUGGUUUUUGGGUAUGUGCGGAAGCUGUGGUGGAGGAUUGGUGAUCAUUGUAUAAUACAUUAACCUAGUGCAAUUAGGUUAUGUGUUUCAUCAUUCUAUUUGGAUUAUAAUUUUGUAACCUUACCCUAGUACAAUUGGGUCAAGGAUUUCAUUAGUAUAUUAGGAUUUGGUUAUUUAUUUUAUUAGUUUAGUAGGAGUAGGAUAGGAGUAUUAUAAAUACCCUAUCAUGUUAGAGAUUUUCAAGAAGGGAGACAUUCUGACAAUUCAUUCAUCUCCUUACAAUUAAGACAUCUUCCUACAACCCAUUCUCAAUUCUUCAUUCUUCUACUCUUAAAUUCCACAACAAGAGAAUUGUUACUUGCUACGGAAUCACUAAAACCACACGCCAAACACCUACUAUUCACGCCAUCCACCAUGCAAAACGUGAUAUCCUUCGCAUUCAUGGGUAACUAAAUCUCUUAGUUGGGGUUAUGGAAGCCGAAUGAGUUACUAUCUAUAGCUAUGAGUUUGUGAGUUCAAGACAAGUAUAUUGCUUAUAUCAUUAUUCUCUUCAUCUUAAAUCUACAUUCUUUGCGGUUCAAACACAAGAACACGCCAUUCUAACAUCUAACCUGUUCGAGAGAAAGGUUAUUUGUCUAGAAAAGAAGACGCAUAGACCAACGCCAGUCUAACAUCUGACUUGUUCGAGAGAAAAGUUAUUUGUCUGGAAAAGAGAUAAUGUCAAGGUAGUAGGACACCCUUUCCUAUUAAAAAGCUAGUGCCGUACCUGGACUAACUUCUUGGAGAAUUCGUACCGUUAGUCACGCUUUAAGCUCGAGAGAGUUAAAGUGAAAUAGUCCUUGUUUAGGUCGAGAGACGCUUGGAUUUACCAUCGACUACAAUUCUCUAUAAGCAAUUACAUGUCAAGACUCUACACACUCAUAGCCAAUAGAGACGUAUACCUCAGAAGGUGGACAUAACCCCAACGCCUCAAUUCUCAUUGUUUACAACACACGUGACAAUCUCUCUUUAUUUUGCUAUUUUCAGUUCUUACAUUCUUGUUUUGGUUACAUACUACAAUCCCCCCUUUCCUACGAGACUUGCACUAAAAGUCUAGUAAUUUUUCUUGCUUGUUGGCCAAGCUAUUCUCUGUGGGAUCGAUACCCAACCCAGGUUGGGUUCUAUAUUUGCUAACGACCGCUUUACACUCCCACGAGAGCUGUAGAUUGAGCGUUAUCAAAAAUUGGCGCCGUUGCCGGGGAAUACGAGUGUCAAUCAAGUUCGUGAAAAUUACUAGACCCUUUGGUCAAAGAUUCUCGUACUUUUACGUUUAGUUUUUGUUUUUGUUUAUUGCAGGUUUUUCUUUUAGUGCAUGCCCCAUACUAGAAGUUCUGGUCAACCGUUAUUACCAAUCAAUCCGGAACCACAACGAAUCAGAAGAAUGGAAGCACAAGCGGAAAUCGACAGGAUGGCUGCUCAACAUGAGCAAGCAAGAUUAGCUGCUCUUGCCGCUGCUCAAGUCCAACAACAAAACAUUGAUAAUCCUGGACGAGCAACAAAUCCUGACGAUGAAGAUUUAGGAGAUGACGAGUUGAUCAACCCAAGGCAUGGCGCUGAAAUGGCAACACCUACCAACAGACGAGGUCGACAAGCUCGGUACAGAUAUGAUCGCCAACCUUUGCAACCAGCUUUCGACGAUGAUGAUGAUGAUCUUGAUGGUGCCGGAGCCACUGGAGCUAUAAUUCCACCACCAUUAGCGCCCGGAGCCAAGUUCAACAUCACUAGCACCAUGAUUCAGUUAUUGCAACUCAAGGGAUUAUUUGGUGGACUAGCAGGCGAUGAUCCGAAUAUGCAUCUCAUCAACUUUAUUUCUACAUGCAAGUCUUUUGACAAUCCUGGAGUUGGUCAGAAUGCUAUUCGAUUACGUCUAUUUCCAUUGUCUCUGUCUGGGGAGGCAACAUUAUGGUUGAAUGGGCUGACUCCUGAUUCUAUUACAAAUUGGAGGCAAUUGAGAGACGCUUUCCUAGAAAGAUUCUUUCCGCCAUCCAAGAGGGCUCAAUUGAGAGAUGAAAUCAGCAACUUUCGUCAGCUUCCCUCUGAAGCUCUUCACGAAACAUGGGAGAGGUUCAAGACAAAGCUAGCGAGAUGCCCAAACCAUCACAUGACUAAUGUUCACCUCAUGGAGAUCUUAUAUAGAGCCUUGAAUUCAGUAACUAAACCAGUGGUGGACAACGCAGCUGGAGGUUCUUUUAUGGACCUCACCUUUGGUCAAGCAAGCAACAUGCUAGAUCGUAUGACGAAACAAAGUAGAGCUUGGCAUACCAGGGAUUCUGAGGUAGCAAGCCCCACUUUAUCUAUUGGCAUGUCUGCAGAUCAAAGAAGGAGAGAAGAAGAACGUGAUCAAGAUAUGGCGCACAUGAAAACCCAAAUGGAUCUUCUUACAAAGCAUCUAUUAGGGAAGACUGAAAAAGUGAAAUCUAUUGCGUCAAAAGGAAGAGACGAAUCUGAUUCAGAAGAGGAGGCCAACUACUUGAACAAUCAGGGGGGUUUCCGUGGGAAUGCCCAAGGAAACCAAGGUCGGAACUAUUAUGACAAAUCUGGAGGUAAAGACCAAGGUAGUUGGAAGAAAAAUAAUGAAAACAGUGGUUUGUACGUUCCCCCUGGUAGACGUGAUACCACCACAUCUAAUUCUAUGGAAGACAUGAUGGCUAAGUUAUUGAAAGGAGUGGAAGCGACGAAUGCGGGAGUUAAGGAGGUGAUUGACGAUUUGGCCUCCAUGAAGCAAUUAGUUGAUUCUCAUUCCACUUCUAUCAAGCAACUAGAGCAGCAAUUCAGUCAACUUUCAGCAACACUCAACCAAAGAAAAGCCGGCACCUUGCCUAGCGAUACGGUGCAAAAUCCAAGGACUGAUGGGUCAUGCAUGGCCAUCACUACGAGGAGUGGUAAGGUGCUGGAAACUUCAGCAGAAGGCAAGCAAAUAGUUGACAGAACAGCAGACACAACCGCCACACCUAGUGACGCCACUAGGGAAGACGCCGCAAUAUCCACUUCCAACGUCAAGGACGUGUUGCCUAGUGACGUGCAGCCUGAAAAAAGUAAUAAACGGAAGCAAGAGGAGAAGAAAGCCAUGGAAAGAACACUUCCAUACCCACCACCACCUUUUCCACAAAGACUGAAGAAGGCGGCCGAUGACACUAAGUUCAGCAAGUUCAUGACCAUCUUGAAGCAGCUGACUAUUAAUGUCCCAUUGGUAGAGGCACUUGAACAAAUGCCUGGGUAUGCGAAGUUUAUGAAAGAUCUUUUGACUAAGAAGAGGGCAGCAAGCUAUGAGCUGAAAGAAGAUGUGCAUCAUUGUAGUGCAAUAGCUACCCGAUCCAUAGUUCAGAAGAAGGCCGACCCCGGAGCUUUCACUAUUCCUUGCACCGUCGGAUCUUUGGACUUUGCUAAAGCAUUAUGUGACUUAGGAGCCAGCAUCAACUUGAUGCCAUUAUCAAUCUACAAGAAGUUGGGGUUGGGAGAUCCUACACCAACUAAUAUGAAGCUUGUUAUGGCGGAUAGGUCGGUAAAACGACCGGUUGGUAUUCUAUGCGAUGUCUUGGUGAAGGUAUCUUCAUUCAUAUUUCCAGCAGACUUUGUCAUCUUGGAUUGCGAAGCAGAUUCAGAGGUUCCCAUAAUCUUGGGACGCCCUUUCCUUGCUACGGGAAGUGUGCUCAUAGAUUUGAGAGCUAAUGAACUUUCAUUCCGAAUAAAUGAUGAAGUGGUGCGCUUUGAUGUUUGCAAAUCAAUGAAGCAACCCAAAGAUCUAAGUGUAUUUUCUGUGACUGAUGUUGUCGUUGAUGACGAGGAUGAGUUACUUGCUGAAGAACAAAUUCUUGAUGAUCCUUUGGAGGUUUUGCUCAUGGAAGAAGAUGAUGAUGAUGCUGAAAUUUCUGAAGAUGAUAUUUGUGCUCUAUCGGGAUUAGGAGCAUAUCGCUAUCCUCCUAAGAAGCUGGAUCUUGAUCUCAAGAAUCGACCCACACCACCAGCUAAGCCAUCUAUUGAAGAACCACCCACAUUAGAAUUAAAGGAGCUGCCAAGCCAUUUGAAGUAUGCAUUCUUAGGAAGCGGAAACACUCUUCCAGUCAUAGUGGCAGCCGAUUUAGGUGAGCAACAAGUUGCAGCUCUUAUUGCAAUUUUACGCAAGUAUAUUAGAGCUAUUGGAUGGACCAUUGCGGAUAUCCUUGGUAUUCCACCUGGAAUUUGCACUCAUAAAAUUCAGCUCCAAGAAAAGUGCACACCCACCAUCGAACACCAAAGACGUCUAAACCCACCAAUGCAAGAGGUGGUGAAGAAGGAGAUUAUCAAGUGGUUAGACGCAGGAGUUGUGUAUCCUAUUUCUGAUAGUACAUGGGUAAGCCCAGUACAAUGUGUUCCCAAGAAAGGAGGUAUGACGGUGGUUGCGAAUGCAAAGAAUGAGCUUAUUCCACUCAGGCCCGUCACUGGAUGGAGAGUAUGCAUGGACUACCGCAAGCUGAAUUCUUGGACUCUCAAGGAUCACUUCCCCAUGCCAUUUAUGGACCAAAUGCUAGAUCGAUUAGCGGGAAAAGGAUGGUUUUGCUUUCUUGAUGGUUAUUCAGGUUAUAAUCAGAUUUUUAUUGCACCAGAAGACCAAGAGAAGACAACGUUUACAUGCCCAUAUGGUACGUUUGCCUUCAAACGUAUGCCAUUCGGGUUAUGUAAUGCACCAGCCACCUUUCAGCGAUGUAUGAUGUCUAUUUUCUCUGAUAUGGUAGAAGACACUUUGGAGGUAUUUAUGGACGACUUUUCAGUUGUUGGGGAGUCUUUCGAAGCAUGUUUGGUGAAUUUAAGCAUGGCAUUACAAAGAUGUGUAGAGUUCAACCUUGUGCUGAAUUGGGAGAAGUGCCACUUCAUGGUAAAAGAAGGAAUUGUUCUUGGGCACAAGAUCUCCGAAAAAGGAAUAGAGGUUGAUCGCGCCAAAAUAGAGGUAAUUGAGAAGCUACCACCUCCAAUUUCGGUGAAGGGAGUUCGUAGUUUUCUUGGCCAUGCUGGGUUUUAUCGUAGAUUCAUCAAAGACUUCUCCAAAAUUUCUAGUCCAUUAUGCAAGCUAUUGGAGAAAGAUGCGAAGUUUGACUUUAAUGAUGAUUGCUUAAAGGCAUUUGAAUGCCUUAAAGAAAAACUCGUUGAAGCCCCUAUCAUGGUAACACCAGAUUGGACGCUCCCGUUCGAAGUCAUGUGUGAUGCUAGUGGUGUAGCCGUUGGUGCUGUUCUUGGACAGAGAAAGGAGAAAUUAUUUCAUCCUAUCUACUAUGCGAGUAAGGUCCUCAAUGAAGCCCAAAGGAACUACACCGUCACUGAACAAGAGCUAUUAGCGGUUGUGUAUGCGUUUGAGAAGUUCCGCGCCUACCUAUUAGGUACUAAAGUGAUCGUUCAUACAGACCAUGCAGCUCUUAGGUAUCUAAUGACAAAGAAGGAUGCAAAACCAAGGCUGAUUCGAUGGGUGUUGCUGCUGCAAGAGUUUGAUUUCGAAGUCAAAGAUAGAAGAGGUUGCGAGAACCAAGUGGCUGAUCACCUAUCUAGACUUGAGAAUGAGUAUGUGGCGCAAUCAGAAAAUCAGAUUGGCGAUGCAUUCCCUGACGAGGAGAUAUUAGCGACAACAAUAGAAGACUUACCAUGGUAUGCCGACUUUGCGAAUUUCGUGGUGAGUAAUGUGUUACCUACAAAUUUAUCUUACCACCAGAGGAGGAAGUUUAUGCAUGACGUUCAGCACUAUUAUUGGGAUGAGCCUUAUUUGUUUCGAAGAUGUGCGGAUGGUAUCAUUCGACGAUGUAUAUCCCAUGACGAAGUGCCCACUAUAUUAGAAGCAUGCCACACUUCGCAAGUUGGAGGACAUCAUGCGGGUAAUCGAACAGCAAGAAAAGUCUUGCAAAGUGGUUAUUAUUGGCCUACAAUAUUCAGAGAUGCACACGACUAUGUGAGAAGGUGUGACCAAUGCCAACGUCAAGGUGUUAUUUCAAAACACCAUGAAAUGCCCAUGUCCACAAUCCUGGAGGUAGAACUCUUUGAUGUAUGGGGUAUUGAUUUCAUGGGACCAUUCGUAAAUUCGUUUGGAAUGAAGUACAUCUUGGUUGCUGUGGAUUAUGUGUCGAAAUGGGUUGAAGCUGUAGCAUUGGCCGAUAAUGAAGGAAAGCGUGUUGUAGCGUUUUUAAAGAAGAAUAUCUUCUCUCGCUUUGGGGUACCUCGUACUAUCAUAAGUGAUGGAGGAUCUCACUUCUGCAACAAGCUAUUCAAAUCUGUAUUGGCCAAGUAUGGAGUCAAGCAACACAAGGUAGCUACGCCUUAUCAUCCCCAAACUAGUGGACAAGUAGAGGUUUCCAAUCGGGAGAUCAAGCAAAUCCUUGCCAAGACGGUCAAUGCGAAUCGGAAGGAUUGGUCUCGGAAGCUAGAUGAUGCACUAUGGGCGUAUAGGACUGCAUUCAAGACACCCAUUGGCAUGUCACCUUAUCAGCUAGUUUAUGGGAAGGCUUGUCAUCUACCCAUCGAGCUUGAAUACAAGGCAUUAUGGGCAUUGAAGCACUUGAAUCUGAAUUGGGAUGAUGUGAAGAACCUGAGGUUGGAGCAGCUGAACGAGCUAGAUGAAUUCCGUCUCCAUGCUUAUGAAAGAUCAGAUUUAUACAAGGAGCGGAUGAAGAAGUAUCACGAUCAGCGGAUUGUUCGACGACACUUCCAAAAAGGUGACAUGGUGCUACUCUUUAACUCCAGAUUCAAGCUCUUCCCAGGUAAGUUAAAAUCAAAGUGGUCUGGUCCAUUUAAAGUCACCCACGUCUACUCGUUUGGAGUAGUCGAAUUGGAAAAUAAUGAGGGUGUUAUCUUCAAGGUGAAUGGCCAACGUGUUAAGCCAUAUAUCGGUCCUCUUGACUCGAUAAAUGACAUGGCCAUCACUUAUCUCGACGAAGUCUAAGUACUCGAGAUUACUACGUCGAGCCACGACAAUAAAUAAGGCGCUAGAUGGGAGGCAACCCUUCGUUUUAUUGUUUUAUCGUUUUGUCGUUUUAGUAUUUUUUCUUUUUGAUAAAUGAAAAUCCAAAAAUAAGAGUCGUGCCACGACCAAAACUAAGGCGCUUGGUGGGAGGCAACCCAUCGUACUAAUCGUUUUCAUUUGUUUGAGCAAAUAUAGGUGUAAGAAGUAUGCAACGAGGAGAUUGAUUUCAAUUGACGAUUUGGUCGCGUUGUAUGGUAAAGGCGGUACAAUGGCACCGAAAGCAAGGCAAGGCAAGGAGAAGGCUACCACAACCCGCAAGGACAAAAAGAGAAGCCGAAAAGACCAAGGCGAAUCAUCUUCCGCACACCUACCACGCAGAAUGUUCGGAAUCAAAUGGGUUCUUGAGGAAGAAGCCAAGGCAUGGUACAGCAGCAACAAAGAAAAGAAAUAUGUGCACGUCGACUUAAUCAAUAAGGAGACCUUAGCAAAGAAGGAGCCGCAAAUGUUGGCUAAGAUUAUGGCUUUGAAGCUGGAUUUCAUCUUCCGUGACAUGGGAGAGUGCAAUCUUGACUUGACAAGAGAGUUUUAUGCCAACUGGUCGCCAAACACAACAGGCAACGAAGUCAAAAUUCGGGGCCAAGUGUUACAGCUUACAGCGGAUUGGAUCAACUCGUUUCUAGGCCUACCUUCGGUCGACACUGCACCAUACAAAGAGCUGUACAGCAGACCUCCUUACAGAGCUAUAAGACACACGCUUUGUGGAAGCAGAUCGAUGGCGAGAUGGGGCAGACAUAAGGAAACAGGCCGUCACAACACAUUCCCCUAUGCUCCACUAAAUAGGGAAGCAAGAAUCUGGAUGCGCAUUGUCAACUCAUGCCUCAUUCCUGGGACGCAAUACACAAAGAUAUCGAGAGAUAGAGUGUGCCUGGUUUAUUCAUUAAUGACGAAUGUCCCUAUCAACUUUGGGGCAAUCAUUCGAUCCACCAUGAGGAAAGCCAGACUGAUGUGAAUGUGAAUGGUCCUAUUUCACAUUCGGCAAUUUGUUGACAGCAAUGUUGCGGAAGGAGGAUAUAGAGGAGGAACCAGCUGACCACAAACUCCCACAUACCCCAAAGAAGGUUGACCUCACCAAGGUCAAAGAUGCUGAAACAACGCAUGGAGUCAACCUUACCACUGCGGAGAGACAUGCUCGUGACGAGAGUUUCUUCCGUCAUCUCUAUGGCAUGACGAGAUUCACUAUGAUGAGUGGUGGACGUAUUCCAACUGCUGAAGAGCUCCAACAGCUGGACCACGACUACCCAAUGAACAGACAUGCCCGGGAGAUGUGUGGAGUGGGAGUAUAUUUCGAGGAACCUCUUGAUGAUGACGUGCCAACUGAUGAUGAUAGACGCUUGCCUGAUUCUGAUGCUGAGGAGAACUCUGACGAUGACUCUUACGAUGACUCGAACGAAGGGGGUAUGACAUUGAGGAAGAGUCCGACUAAUCAGGUUCUUCGACUUUAUUUUCCACUGAGGGCAGUGUCUAGUCUAAGUGUGGGGUGUCGGCAGAAUCUGCAUGCUAUAUUUGUAUGUUUGCUUGUUUAUUUUGUUUUAUUUAUUUUGUUUUGAGUCCGAUUUUUUUUUGUGAUUUUUUUCGUGUGACGUUUUUUUUUUAGUUUUUAGUAGUUAAAAUUUUUCUAGCCUCGCAUGAAAUUAUUUUAAUAGGCAGCAUGAGAUUAUAACAAUAGUAUGUAUUACAAUUGUGACUAUUGAGACAUUUAGGCUCUAGUUGUGACUCAUUAUGUGAUAGUGUGUGAUUCAAUUCCUUCACUUGUUGGGUUGAGAGUCUAUAUUGCUACCAAUCAAGUCGACCAUGUGCCUUGUGUGUGUGAGAUAAUAGUAUAUUCUAUGUAUGUGGCUGAUGCUAGAACUUGCCUGGUAUGUAUGCAAAGCGAAAAUAAGGAGUGUAAGUUUAGGAUAUGAUUUAGGCAUUUCUUUGGCAACCUAUAUUUGUUUACCUUCAGUUUUACCUACCCAUGGACAUCAUCCUAGUUAAACCCUUUUGAGCCUUUAGCCUAUUUCUUUGACAACCUUGUAUGUAAGCCUAAUUCAUUUUUUUUUCAAGACCGUAAUUUGAUCCAAAUUCCUAAGUGCUUUAAAGUGAAAAAGUCAUGUGACAACAUAAGAGGAAAUUGGUUGAGUAUGAUGCUUUAAAUUGUAAUGGUGCUUGAAUAUGUUAUGAAAAAGAAAGUGCUAUCAUAAGAGGUAUGUUGUGAGAAGAAAAAGGAAAAGAAAGCUGAAAAGUGAGUUGUGCUUUAAAAUUGAAAAACAAAAGAGGAGAACAAGGGUGCUACAAAAAAGUGUCAAUAAUACAAUGUGAUGUAUUAAAGUGCUUAGGAACUUAGUCACUAUUUCUGGCCAAAAUAGUUGAUCCUACCCGUCCCUUAGCCUACAUUACAACCAUCAAAAGACCUACUUGAUCCUAACCUUAACAUUCCGACAUUUAGUGGAGUACUACAUUAAGGGCAAGCCUAUGGUCAUUAGCUGCUACAUAUGAAUUCUUUGUGAGAGUGAGCGCAAGGAUACUUUGCUGCCCAUGUUUGAAAAAUAUGCUAUACUUGUGAGUGAUUAUGGGUACUAUAUUGUGAGACACACAUGGUUGAUGAGUUUUGGAUAGUUGUAUAUGAUUCUAUGUACCUUAAACGUUUGCAUGCGAGUUGAUCACCAUCACGAGUCUAUGCUUGAGGUUAAAUUGUUUCUACUUAUAAUCGGAAAGCUACUCUUCGUUGAUAAUUGUUGUGCUUGUCUUGAAGAAUGUUUUGUGUUGUUUCUGUAAAAACCUUAAGUCAAUGCUUAGAAGGACAUGAUAUGUUGUUCGAGGACGAACAAAGCUCUAAGUGUGGGGUGUUGAUGAUAGGCGAAAUUACGCGCCUAUAUCAAUAUAUUUUGCCCAUAUUUUAGCCUAGUUUCGAGAACUAAUUAUCUAUUUCGUACACUUUUAGUCCUUUUUCCUGUAAAUGAGCUAACAAAUGUGAUUAGGAAAGUUUCAGGUAUAAAUGAUGCAAAAUACAGCAAUUUAUGGCUUACUUGACGCAAAAGAAAGCUCACAAACGAGAUGGAAAGGAGCUGGACGCAUAAAGGACUAAAUCUGCUGCAUGGAAAAUCUGUCCCGGGCUAAAACAGCAUUUCUGAAGACUUUGGGACUUACAGACACAAAGCUGGAUUUUUGCCAUAAUACAUUAACCUAGUGCAAUUAGGUUAUGUGUUUCAUCAUUCUAUUUGGAUUAUAAUUUUGUAACCUUACCCUAGUACAAUUGGGUCAAGGAUUUCAUUAGUAUAUUAGGAUUUGGUUAUUUAUUUUAUUAGUUUAGUAGGAGUAGGAUAGGAGUAUUAUAAAUACCCUAUCAUGUUAGAGAUUUUCAAGAAGGGAGACAUUCUGACAAUUCAUUCAUCUCCUUACAAUUAAGACAUCUUCCUACAACCCAUUCUCAAUUCUUCAUUCUUCUACUCUUAAAUUCCACAACAAGAGAAUCGUUACUUGCUACGGAAUCACUAAAACCACACGCCAAACACCUACUAUUCACGCCAUCCACCAUGCAAAGCGUGAUAUCCUUCGCAUUCAUGGGUAACUAAAUCUCUUAGUUGGGGUUAUGGAAGCCGAAUGAGUUACUAUCUAUAGCUAUGAGUUUGUGAGUUCAAGACAAGUAUAUUGCUUAUAUCAUUAUUCUCUUCAUCUUAAAUCUACAUUCUUUGCGGUUCAAACACAAGAACACGCCAUUCUAACAUCUAACCUGUUCGAGAGAAAGGUUAUUUGUCUAGAAAAGAAGACGCAUAGACCAACGCCAGUCUAACAUCUGACUUGUUCGAGAGAAAAGUUAUUUGUCUGGAAAAGAGAUAAUGUCAAGGUAGUAGGACACCCUUUCCUAUUAAAAAGCUAGUGCCGUACCUGGACUAACUUCUUGGAGAAUUCGUACCGUUAGUCACGCUUUAAGCUCGAGAGAGUUAAAGUGAAAUAGUCCUUGUUUAGGUCGAGAGACGCUUGGAUUUACCAUCGACUACAAUUCUCUAUAAGCAAUUACAUGUCAAGACUCUACACACUCAUAGCCAAUAGAGACGUAUACCUCAGAAGGUGGACAUAACCCCAACGCCUCAAUUCUCAUUGUUUACAACACACGUGACAAUCUCUCUUUAUUUUGCUAUUUUCAGUUCUUACCUUCUUGUUUUGGUUACAUACUACAAUCCCCCCUUUCCUACGAGACUUGCACUAAAAGUCUAGUAAUUUCUCUUGCUUGUUGGCCAAGCUAUUCUCUGUGGGAUCGAUACCCAACCCAGGUUGGGUUCUAUAUUUGCUAACGACCGCUUUACACUCCCACGAGAGCUGUAGAUUGAGCGUUAUCAGACUCACCAACUGUGGAAUGUAAAGGUACUUGGAAAUCAUGGUCACUGCUAAAGCUAAGCACCUGAACCUACAUUAUGAGAUAAUGUAGCACACUAACUUAUCUAUGGAUCAGCAAUUUUGGAAUGUACUAAGUAUAUGGGGGCGUAUGCAUUUACAUAAAAUAAUAUCAAUACUCUUUAAUAAAAUUAUGCAUGCAAAUAGGAAUGACUCACAUGGCUUGAAUAAGUCUAAAAUAUAAAACUCAUAAAUCAUAAAUAGUGAAAUAUGUAACACAAAAUCUUGCGAGUCAUUAUACUUAGCUUUAAAAUCUAUACUCUCCUCUUAUUCUCAGUACUUGAAGGAUAAAGAAAGCUUUAAACAAUACUUUCAAACUCAUGCUUUCAUCUUGUGGAGAGUAUAACUUUUUUAAAACUUAAGAACUUAGAACUUUUAACACUUGGGAACUCUGGAACUCUUUUAGACUCAGGAUACUUGGAACUCGGGAUUUCUUCUAACCGACAUAAACCAUGUGGGCUACAUGAAAUCUAACGUCUUGCCCACAUUGGGGAGAGUUGUUCUAUCCUUGCCAUCGGAGUAGAACAUCAUCUUUCCUAAUCACUUAUCUUAACCCACUUAGGGUAAAUUAGAAACCUACGGGGGCACAUAGUUCUGGGGCAUGAGACCUUGGAAUCAUACCCCACUCGAUGCUAAAUACUACUCCCAUACUCAGCUCAAAACUUUUAGAGAAAUCCACCUCAAAAUAACUCAAGGGUCUAUAAUGAAGACCAAAAUAUAUUCCUCUUUGCUUUAAAUCAUAAUCUAAUGUGGAUUUCAAUCUUAGCUUAGACCCUAGGGGUCAAAUCUUUAACUAAUAUAUAAAAAUAGUUUAGUUAUGGUGUACUCAUGACCCAAAUAGUCUUGAACAAUAAAUCUUAAAAUGGGGGUAUAUUGACCCAAAUAGUAAAUCUCAAGUUAUCAUCUCAAAAUUCAUGCUUAAGAAUGAAAUUUCUCAUAAGGUAUCUUGAAAUCCAUAAGUUUCAUCAAUUAGCGUAGAAACAUAUAUAAAAUCAUGCUAUUUGACUUUUAAUUCAUAGGAAGUAUAAAAACCUUGUAGCCAAUGAUAAUGGGUGAAAAACCCUAACUCAAUUUCAUUAAGAUCUCAUAAAUUGCAGAAAAAUUGUAAUUUAAAAUAAGCCUUUGGGCACAAAGGUGAAAGGAUUACUCUUGUUCAAACACCACAUACCUUAGAUUAUGAAAUUGGAUGAACAAGCUUGCUUGAGACUCUUUUUGGAACUCUUGAGGGAGUGUUCUUGAAGCCUUUGACUUGGGAACUUUGAAUCUUAACUCAAUUUUCAGGAAUUAUGGUAAGUUCUUGAAUUUUUUAGAGAAGGAAUUUGGAUUUAUUCUUGAGGAAGAAACCCUAGCUUUGAGAUGCCUUUGGAUGAACUAACAUCAUCUAGUUUGUUUGGGUAUAUUAAGUGUAAAAAGGGUGGAAAAAGACCAAAAAGUCCCUUUUAAAAACAACUUAAAAUCACUGAACGAAAUAUGCAAUGGUGGGUGUGACGGUCUAUCACUGGGUCGAUGAUCCAUUGAUCCUGACCAUCGCACCUGGGCCAGAUUUGUACUUUCUAUCUUUCCUGUGAUGGUUGGGUCAAUGGUCCAUUACUGGAUCGACGAUCCGUAGGCCUUACCGUCGCACCUAACCCGAAUGAGGUCUCACUUCCUCCACUGCGAUGGUUUGGGCGAUGGUCCAUCGCUAGCUCGAUGGUCCGUCAGACCUCUCCGUGGUACCAUGAUAGUUUAGACAACUUUCUGUAAUUCAACCAUAUCUUUCUCUUCCAACGUCGGAUUGUGACGAAAUAGGUAUCGUUGGAAAUAUAAUUAAAUUUCCUACAUAAUAAAAAUUCAUUUUUAUGAAAACUCUAUAUGAUUUAACUACUAAUCACUUUGGAAGUCAUUUCUAAAUCUUUUAGAGAUGGAAUAAGGCUUCACUUGACAUGUUCUAAAGGCUCAGACUAUGAGGGAACUUUACGGGGUCUUACAGUUGUAGACCUUGAAGGAGCGGCAGCUGUAUGCCAAAAUUUAUAAAGGUGAAUUCUAGUUGAACGCUAUCAAUUUUCUGGGUCAUAUCAUUUCUAGUGAGGGGAUUAUAGUGAAUCCACAGAAGGUUGCAGUUGUUAAGAAGUGGCCUACACCCACAACUCCAAUGGAUAUAUGAGCAUUUUUGGGUUUAGCAGACUAUUGCAGGAGGUUUCUGGAGAGUUUUGUUUUCUAUAGUUUCCCUAUUAACUAAGUUGACUCAAAAUAAGGUGAAUUUUUUAUGGUUGGUUGCUAUUAAGGGUAGUUUUGAAAAGCUGAAGGAUAAGCUAACUUCGACUCCAUUUUUGACUUUGCCCAAAGGCAUAGAUUAAUUUUUGGUAUACUGUGAAGUAUCCCAUGUAGGGCUUAGUUGUGUUUUGAUGCAGCAUAAUAAGGUGAUAGCUUAUGUCUCUCGAUAGUUGAAGGUGUAUGAGAGAAAUUAUCCAACUCAUGAUUUGGAAUUGUUAAGUGGUGUUCCCAUUAAAAAUCUAGCAUCACCAUUUGUAUGGAGUGCAUGUGGAUAUCUUUUCUGAACAUAAGAGCCUACAGUAUGUGUGUACUCAAAAAGAUCUUAACCUCAGAUAAAGAAUAUUUCUUGAGCUACUCAUGGAUUAUGACAUGAAUCUUCACUACCAUCUUAGUAAAGCUAAUAUGGUUGCUGAUGCUCUUAGCAUGUUGUCCAUGGGGAUUUGAGCUCACCUGGAUAAGGAGAAACAGGAGUUGAUGAAGGAUAUUCACUAUUUGGAUAACCUUGGAGUUCGACUCUUGAACUUUGAGAAUAGUGAAGUAUUUAUGUAGGAAGUUUCCCAGUCAUCUUUUGGUGCUGAAAUCAAGGAGAAACAAGUGUUAGAUCCUGUGUUGAUAAAGAUCAAAUGUGAUGUUUGAGGGCAGAAGGUAAUGACCUUUGAUAUUAGUGGUGAUGGUACUCUGUGGUACCAAGGGAGAUUAUGCGUUCCCAAUGUCAAUGGUUUGCAAGAAAGGAUCUUGGCUGAGACACAUGAGUCGCUCUAUAGUUUUCAUCCUGGUUCGAUGAAAAUAUAUGUAAUACCCCAUAUUUUCCUAACUCAAUUUAGCUCUCAGUAUUCGAGAAUUCCUACAUAUAUUUUAAAAAAUACUUAGAAUUUUCCAUCUUAAGAUCCCUCAUUAUGUAGGAAAUUUAGUUAGCUUUUCAAUGAUAUAAAGUUCACCUUAAUCUGAGAACUAGGUAAGAAGUUAUGGCGAAUAUAUUUUCAAUAGUCAGGCUUCGCGAUACCACCACGUUGUGGAGAGAGGCCAAAUGUCAUUUGUCAGUUUUCAGCGAGACACCGUGAUUCCAGUGCAUCCCGGUGAAGUUCUAGUUCCCAAUUGACAUUUCAAGUGAAGCACCGCGAUUAGGCCGCAUCGCCGUGCAGGAAAAAAUGGCAUUUGUCAAUUUCUAGUAAUACAAAACGAUUCCACCACAUCACACCAAUUUCUAUUUUCAGAAUUGUCAAUUUCUAGUAGCCCAACGUAAUACCACCACGUCACGUCAAAUGGUAAUUUUGCAAUUGUCCAUUUUUAAACAAGUUUUAGCCAAUUUCCAAUGGCUCAUCGUGAUGCCACCGCAUCGCGGUGAAAGCCAAAAUUGGGAAAUUUUAUGAUGGGAAUUCAAAUUACUUCAGGGGAAAUUGAUCUUUUUCCAUGGCCCUAGUCAGUCCUAAACACGGGAUUUAAGUCCUAAUAACCUAAUUAGUCAUUACUUUUAUUCAAUUUUCCUAAAUCAGAAUCAUUCUCUCCCAAAUAGCAAAACCCUAUCCUUCAAGAAUCAAGGUCAAAUCUCAAGAAAUCCAUCAAGAAUCUUUAAGAAUUAAACUUCCCAAGUAUGUUAGGUGUUCAUCCAUGGGCCCUUACCACCCAUGGAGUCCUAUGACCCUUUUUAAAAAUACAAGUUUUCAAAUUUGUGAUUUCCAUGCUUAAAUUAGAUUGUACUCAUGUUCAUGAUAUUGUUUGGGUUUCAAUCCAUGAUUAAUUACAAGUUUCAUGAAAUUAAGAUAGUAUGUGUGUUGAAUUAUGUGAUCCUCAUGUUAAAUCCUUGAAUUGAAAGUUGAGUGUUGUAUUCAUGAUGCUUAUGUGUUGACUAUUAUCAUGUGUAUUACUUAUGUUCCCCAAGUGUUUGAUAGAAUACCUAUAUAAAUUGAAUAGUGAAAUCAUGACAUGUUAUCAUGUGUUUCCAUUCAUGUACAAGUUCAUUCCUCUCAAGUGUUUGACAAAAUGUCUAAAUGAAUGCACUGUUAACAAACCACUAUUGUUAUACUUUUAAGAUCAUGCCAUGCUUUACUAAUAAUUCUAUCGAGUCCUGGGGGUAUUUAAUACCCAAUAUCUAUUUCUUUACCUAGACUUAUAGUAGAUAUAGAAUAGUCUCAAUAACAUUAAAAAUAGUAGUACUAAGUUAGUUAUAGAACUCAGUGAAACUUAGUCUAGUUUAAUAAUCAGCGUCAUUUAGUUGGGAGUAGGAUUCAGCACCAAAUGAACCCAUGGAUAGGGGAUCAUCUAUCAAUAAAAGGUGUGAUCCUUAGUAGCAGUCCUUGUGUUCUAGAACUACAUAGCCAGCGUAGGUUGAGAUAUCAACCUAUCAGUUGAGGGUUGAUAAGGUGUUUGCCUGCCCAUUGAGGGUAACGCCAUUCUCAUUUAGGGAACCUGCCAGAUGAGGGUAACUCUUCAGCUUAUCUAUACCUAUGGCACAGUACUGACACCCUUCCAACUGGGGUUAUAUAUUUGACCCCAAUCAUUUUAGAGAGAGGCAUGUCGGUUAGAUGAUUACCUCCCACAGUCUUAGUUUCAUUCUUCAGUAUAGAACUCAGUCCAGUUCUACAGAACCAUGGCUAACAGUUAUAGUUACUCAGUUACCAGUUAUAUAGCCCAUAGAACUUAGUACUCAAUUAUAGUAUAAUAUUAUAUACACGACAUGUAUAUACGUAUAUGUACAGUAUUGCAUACUAAAUGAUUACAAUAAUUUUAAUUCUCUAUGUACUCUCAUUAUCAUUCAGUAAGUUAUUGAUCAUGCAUAUGAGCCCAUGCAUAUUAGCCUUACCUCAUCUAGCAUAUCAGUACAUUCCAUGUACUGAUCAAAUACUCUUCUCUUGUGCUAUGAUGUCUCAUAUCAUAGGUUCAGACACUUUGGUUCUUAACCGAACUUAGCCAGAUUCAGUUAGUAGCAGUAGAUUCAGUAGUGAGUCCUCAUCCAUUGAGGAUAUUAUUUAUUUUAGUAUUUUAGUAGAUUAAGUAUUUUAUUAGUCGUAUUUAGUUGGGGGAUUGUCCCAUAAAUUCCACAUUCAUAUAGUUUAGUGGAGGUUUUUCAGACUAGACUAGUUCAAAUAGUAUUCAGUUUUCAGAUGUUAUUACCAGUUGUUAUAUUUAUCGGUAUUCAGAUUAUGAACCUUAUGUAAUUUCAACCUAACUUACAUAUUUUUUCCUGCAUUAUUAUUCAGUGCUCACAGUAGAUACCAAUCAUGGGUUAGCUAGUGGCCCUUUGGGGUCAUAAGCAUCUUAUGACGUCCAGGGUAUAGACUUGAGGUGUUGCAAUGUAUCAUGACCUCAAGGAGAUGUAUUUGUGGAACAAUAUGAAGAGAUAUAUGGCAAAUUUUGUGUCAAAGUGUACAGCGUGUCAACAAGUAAAGGUUGAGCACAUGAGGCCUCGAGGUUUAAAUGAAGAAAUUAUGUUUCCAGAGUGGAAGUGGGAAGUGAUCAACAUGGAUUUUGUUAUUGGUCUUCCUCAUUCUCAGAAAUAAUUUGAUUCAGUUUGGGUCAUUGUGGAUAGGAUGACAAAGUCUGCUCACUUUUUGCCAGUGUGGCCUAACUUCUAGGCUAAGGAUUAUGCAAGGUUGUAUCUCUAUAUAAUUGUGAAGUUGCUUGGGGCACCAAUUUAUCUCAUCUCGAAUUGAGGUAUGUAGUUUUCAUAUCACUUUUCGUGAUUGUUUUAGUGGAGGUUAGGGGCUAAGGUAAGUCUGAGUAUUGCUUUUUACCCAUAGUUGGAUGGGAAAGUUGAAAGGACUAUUCAGACAUUGGAGGACAUGCUUUGAGCUUGUGUGAUUGACUAUGGUGGUAGUUGGGUUAAGCACUAACUUCUUAUAGAGUUUGCUUAUAAUAAUAGCUACCAUUCUAGCACUGGGAUGACUCUAAUUGAAUCCUUGUAUGCUAGGAGGUAUAAAUCUCCUAUUGGGUGGUUUGAGGAUGGUGAGGUGGAGAUUUUUGGACUGAAUUUGGUUCACCAAGUCAUGGAGAAGGUGAAGGUGAUUCAGGAUAUACUUAAGGUUGCUCAAAGUCACCAUAAGUCCUAUGCAGAUGUGAGGUGAAGAAAGUUAAAUUUUGAGGUUGGGGAUAGGAUGUUCUUGAAGGUAUCUCCCAUGAAGGGAGUAAAGCAGUUUGGGAGGAAGGGAAGCUCAGACCCCAGUAUGUUGGUCCGUACUUGGUCUUAAGGAGGGUUGGCAAUGUUGCUUAUGUGUUGGAGUAGCCUUCUAGCUUGAGCUUCAUUCAUCUGGUACUCCAUGUCUCUAUGUUGAGAAAGUGUAUCAUUGAUCUGUCUCAAAUCAUGCCUAUCAAGGAUAUUGGUAUUUCAGAUUCUUUGUCUUAUCAGGAGGUCUAGGUCAAGAUCUUAGAUCGGCAUGUUCAUCGGUUACAUACCAAGGACGUAGCUUCGGUAAAGUAACUAUAGAGGAACCACAAGAUUGAAGAGGCUACUUGGGAAGCUGAAGAGGACAUGAAGUCCAAGUAUUCAUUCUUAGUUUUUUCUUCGAAAAUUCAGGCAGAAGGUAUUUGUUCCUUAUCAUACAUUUUUUCUAACUUAGUUAAAGGAAAGAUUGAUUUCCUUGCAUCUUUUCUAUCUAAAUUAGUUAAAGGUCAAUGUCUAGAUGUUUGGGGUAGAAAUCAUGCUUGUAUUGCCUUGUUCCAUCAUUCGUAGAUGAAUGAUCAAAGAAGGGUAGAAUUGAAAUACGCUAGUUUUGUCCCUUGGAAAUUUUUGAGUUUUGAGCCUUCUAUUGAUCAUACAACUCACCAUACUAGUUGUAUAGUGUGGGUAUAGGUCUAGGGACCCUAGUCGUAUGUUGAUUAGUGUGAUGUUGGCCAUGUUCUGUUAUUGGUAUGAGAAGACUCCAUAUGAGUUAUCUAGUGUUGUCUAGUGUCUAGGCUAGAUGUUUCUGCUUAAGGUGCAACUUAAAGGGUAAUAGUUGUAUGGUUAGGGUAUGAGUUAGGCUAAGGAGUCAUACUAAUGCUCUCAAGAAUGGCUUAUAUUCAUCUUCUUUGGUAUAUAAGGCAUUUUACUCCUCCCUUAUUGUUAGCUCAACUUAAAGCAUGUUUUAAUGGAUGGUUUUUGUAAUACCCCAAACUUUUUUUUUGAAGUCUAAUCUAGUCUCCAGAAGAUUUAGGGAUGACUUCCUAAAUAUUUGAUGUUUAAAUCAGAUAUAAUUUUUCCAAUUUUAACUUAUUAUCAUGUAGUAAAUUGAAUUAGCUUUCCAACAAUACCAAUUUUGUCAAACUUUGGAAUCAGAGUAAUAAGUUAUACACGUUUUACAGAGAACUGUCGGAAAUGCCCAAAAGCGAUGGUCAGGCCAAAGUACCAUCGAGCUAGCGAUGGACCGUCACCCAAGCCAUCUCAGACGAGGCCGACGGACCAUCGAGCUAGAAAUGGACCAUCGCUAGGACCGAAGGACCGUCAAGCUAGCGAUGGACCGUUGCCCAAACCAUCGCAGAUGAGGUAAAAAGUUUAGUUUCUGGCCAAGUGCGACGGUCAGGACCGACAGACCAUCGAGCCAGCGAUGGACCAUCGCCCAAACCGUCGCCACUUCUGAUCAGAGAUUUUAAGUCAUUUAUAAAAGGGUAUUUGGGUCUUUUUCCACCUAUUUUAACCCCUAAUUAUACCAGACCAGAGCUCAUAACUUUUUAUUCAUACACAACACCAAAUUAGGGUUUCUCUCAACGAUCAAUCUCAAGAAUAAGAAACCCUAGGUGUUUAAUUUCAAUUAAAGAAUUCAAGUUUUCCUCCACCAAUCUUCAAGAAAUCAUCCACCUAGGUAUGUCAAGUGUUCAUCCAUGGAUUCCUUUAAUCCAUGAAGCCCAAGAAUCUAAGUUUAAAUUAUAAAUUAUGAUGUUUAUGUUGUGGAUUGAUUAUGAUCAUAUAGAUGUAAUGUAUGAUACCCUAAUUAGAAUCGUUAAAUAGGUUUUCAUUAAUUUAUGCUAUUAUGUGGAUUGAAAUCUACUAAAUUGUGUUGAUUUAUGCAACCAUGAUGAAUUAAUUUAAUGUCCAUGCCUAAGGUUAUAGUUAGGCAUGCAAGGUGUUUGAUAAAAUUCCUAAGAGAAUAGGAAAUAUGCCUUAUGACUCAAUUGUGACCUAAAUGAUGAACCUAUGCUUUACCUUUAUGUUCAAAAUGACUUCUAUGUUAUUGUUAUGCAUUGAAAUUAUUUGAUGGAUUGUUCAUAAGAUUAGCCUAUGAAACUAUGACAUGUUUACAUGCUUUCCCAUUCAUGUACCAAACCAUGAUAAUUGAGUACCUCAUGAAAUUCCCCAAUGGUUAUAUUAUGGAUUGUUGAUUAUGGUCGUGAGUCUAGGAAUUGUCAUGUCUUGUCAGUUUCAUGAUAUCGAGUCCUGGGCACUUGUACCGAAUAUUUUAGCUAUGUGCCUAGAGCCAGGGUCAGUUUCAUAAUAAUCUCAGUCAAGCCAUGAUCAGUAGAAUUCAGUCAGUUACAUGACUCAAGAAAAGUCAGCAAAUUCAGUAUCAGUCCAAAAAUCUCAGUAAUCUCAGUCAGUUAUCAUAUAUCAGUAAUAUUCCUUUAGUUAACAAAAUUUAGUAAACUCAUUCCAGUUCAGUCUAGUAUAUUCAGUUCAUUGUCUAUUCAGAUGGGAGUAGGAUUCAGCACGGAGUGAGCCCAAGCAUGGGAACUCAUCUUCAAGUAGAGGGUGUGAUCCUUAAGAGCAAUCCUUGCGCUCCAGAACUACGUAGCCAACGUAGGUUGAGAUAUCAAACCUUCUAGAUGAGGGUCGAUGAGGUGGCUUAACCUAUUAAAUGAGGGUCCCACCAUUCUCCUUAGAGUACCUGUUAAACGAGGGAUCACUCACAACUUGUCCUUACCAGUGGCGCGGUAUUGACACCCUUCCAGUUGGGGUUAUAGAUUGGACCCUAACUCAGCUAUAAUAUCUUAUUAGGGAAAUGUCAGUUAAAGGACUACUUCCCACAGUUUCAGUUAUAGAAUUAGGACUCAGAUACAGUUAUUCAGUCUUAGUAAUAGAACUCAGAUAGUUAUACAAAAUUUAGGACUUUCAGAUACAUUCAACUCAGAACAGUACGAAACUUAGCUACUUCCAUCAGAACCUAGACUGUCCGAUACAAUUGCUCUAUAUUAGUUAUUUUAGUUACAUUAAUUAUCAGUAACUCAUGAUAUUAGUAUUCAGACUCAGAAGUCAGUAUUAUCACGAAUUCAGUUACAGUUACUUAUUCAUGCAUGUAUUCUUAUGUUCAUGUUAUACAGUUAGUUAGUAUUAUUCAUGCAUAUGAACCCUUUGCAUUCAGCCUACCUCACUAGCAUACCAGUACAUUCAAUCAUACUAACUCAUUUGCACUAUGGUGUUUUAUACCAUAGGUUCAGUAGUACGAGCUCCAGAGCAUCAGUAGCAUUCAAUUUUAGUAGUCAGAGUCAGCAGUGAGUCCUUAUCAUUCAAGGAUGUUAUGAUUUGAUUACUUCACUUCUACAAUACUUAGUUUAUUUCAGUAGUUAGAGUUAGUUGGGGACAUAUCCCAUCAACUCCUUAUUCAGACAGUAUAGUGUUAGAGGCUUUCAGACUAUAGGAUGUUCAGACAGUUAUUUCAGUUGUUUUGGUAUUGAUAUACCAUAUUUUCAGACAUUGUGUUUUAUCAGAUAUUUGAACCUUAUGGUCUUUCAGCCUUUUAUUGUGUAUUUAUACAGUAUAUCAUGUAGUGUUCUAGUACAGAUAUCAGUCAUGGGUUAGCUUGUGGUCCUUUAGGGUCACGAGUACCGUGUAGCAUUUUGGGUACCAGAUUUAGGGCGUUAGAUUUUCAUAUAAUUAUUAUGGGUUUGCAUUGCUUUUGAAAUAUAUGUUGGGGAUUUUGGUUACUAAUGGUUGGAUAAUGUUUUCCCAUGUUCUAUUUAUAGUUUUUCAUGUUAUAAUAUUAGUUUAAAUAUGUGGUUGCAUGGAAAUGGUUAAUUGUCUCUUAGUUUUGGUUUUGGAAACUAUAUGCCCUUAAUAUGUUUGUUAAAAUGCCAGUGAGAAUUUUUUUAUCACAUAGUUUGACUUUUAUCAAAAACCUUGAAUUGCAUAAUAUGUUAAUGGAACCUAAAUUAGUUUGAUUAAAUUAAAUGAUUUGGAAAGGCCUUGGUGGCUAUGGUUUUGAUUGAUUUGAAAUCCUAUAAGGUAUAUGGGAAUCCUUAAAGUGUUGGAUAAUAACCUUUCUUGCAAUCUAUUGUCAAUAUGAUGAUACCACUUCAUAGUGCCUUGGUAGUUAAUUUAUGGAAUUGGUGGUUUUGUUAUGUGCUAAAGGUUUUAAUUCAGCAAUAAUGGCAGGUUGUGAUAGCUAACUGUGAAGGUGUGAGUCCAAUGGAUGGACAUUAGAAACUCAUGUUUACCGCCAUGAGGGUUGGUCAUGGUGACUAUAUACUUGUGGGGUACACGGGAAUCCUCUAACUUUAAACUUUUAUAUAUGUAUCAUAGAGGGAGAAGGGUACACGAGAAUCCACGACCCCUAUGAUAUCUUCGGUUUGUGCGGCUAUAUGUAUUAGGGCCCAUUUAGGGGAUAACAGUGGUUCCAUGUAGCUCGAGGGUGGUUUUAGGAUGGUCAAGCUACACAACCUAGGUUAAUAUUUUUAAUGCAUGAUAAACUUGAUUUCCUUUCCUGGCUUGGUAAUUAUGUAUGUAUGUGGCUGCACAUGAUUAUUUACUUUGGUUUUGAAUAAUGGAAUUAUUAUAUCCUUAUACCUGAGUACAUUCUAGCGUUCACCUACUAACCCAUCUUCAGGCGUUGUAUCCCUAUAUGAUGCUGGAAGCGGCCAUACUAGUACUUCUCUUGCUUAGUGACUUGGAUUCGGGCAUAGCUUUGUGUUAGACUAAAUUGGUGAGCUUCUUUACUUCAAAAGACUCCAUUUCAUUCUAUGGAAUUAUUUACAGUGUUUUUUUUUAGACUUUGGUUUUGGCUAUAGUCGGGGGCAUGUCCUAAUCGGAUGUUCUUGGUUACCGGAUAAAGGCUUUGUAUGACUACUAUGGGCAUGGGUGGUUUUGGUAUUGGUGUUAGCCUUGGUAUUGAUAUUGUUAUUUGGGCUGAAACCUAUUGGAAUUUUGUUAGAUGUUUGGAUUGUUACUGUUAUGAAUUUUAUUAUUGUCUUUCGGUUAUAAUUGUUCUAUCUUAUUAUAUAUUCGGAAUUCAUCCGACAUAGGUUGCAGGGUGGUUAUCGUUUGGUGUUAGAGGUGUUCUCCAUUUCCAGUUUUACUUGAGGCACCAAACACAACAAGGCCAUGGUUCAGAUCGUGUCAGCAAGCUGUCGCUUUAUGUAUCGUGCAUAUGACUUGGGCAUCUAGUUGGGAUUAUUGUAACGGCUUAACUAAUUAUCAUUAAGGAAGAUUUCAUGCCUUAGGGAAGGGAUGGUCAUUCAUAAGUAUUGAAAUAGAACUCAAGGUAUGUAAAUCUAAAACCUCUUUAUUCGUGAGACACCACCUAAAGUCAUAUGUUCUCUGAGAAGAGUCCACAUAAAUCUUACUUAAAAUCACCCGUUUCUCUGAGAAGGGUUCACAUAAGUAGUUUGGUCGCCUACAUUAACAGAGCAUUUAUGUGUACAUUAUGAACAUCACUACAUGUUUGUCAUAUCUUAUAUCUGCAUAUUCUUCCCAUUUGAACGUACUUUUCUCCACACUUCCUACGUCUAUCUGUUGAAGUCAUGAUAUCAAUAUAUUUUUGUCGGGUCAUGUAUUUAUAGAGUUCUAACAUGGCUAUGUUCAUACCUAUUAGAAAUUCUUAGAAAUCACGUGUCAUAUAUAUUACAUGAUAUAAAUUAGAAUAAAUAGCCAUAAUAUAGUUGCACUAGACAUUAAUGGCAUAGCGAUAUGUUGUAAGAUAAUAUAAAGACCUAACGUUUAUAUAGCUCGAUACUAUUGAUGAAGUUAAUUAUUUAUGGAAGGAACUCCUUGAAUAGCUAAAUAGUAUUUGUCAUAAUAUACCCGCAUAGCCCUACAAGGCACUACUUGAUAAAAGUUAACAGUGGGAGGGUAUUCAUAGGUUUAGCUUGACACACAUGUGCAACGUAAUUUUGUGCACAUAAUUGGGACCAGAACAUUAUAGUAAGCCCAAACAUUGUAGCGUAUGUGCCCUUGUGGCAUCAUUUGCAUUUUGUGUCAAUUGGAAUUUCAUGUACUAUUUCCCCUAACUCGAGCCAAUAUAUGGCACAUAUGGCCUGCGGGCAAACCCUCAUAGUGAGCUCCUAAGUAUGCACAUACGACUGCAAUUCAGUAUCAAAAGCAUACAUAGACAUGAGGUAACAUUACGAUACAUUUGACACAAAAUGCCUUCUGUAGGCCAUCUUAUCAUCAUUUGUAUUUGAUAGGCAUAGGACAUUACUUAGGCAAAUUGUUAGGUAUCUUAUAAUGAAGAAUAGCUUUGAAGACACAAGUAUAAGUUAAUAAGGUUACCUACAUAAGUCAUACGAUGGUUUUUGAUAAUGUUGAUCUAUAAUUUCCCAUACUUAAUAUGUGAGUUAUGACAUAUAGAAUAGUGAAUUAGUCUCUUUUUCAUAUUGUAAAUCAGUUUUUCACAUGCUCAUACCAUAGGUCCGUCGUCUUGAUAUCUGAUGCCUAUGAUCAUUCAUACUUGUUUCUUAUUAUUUAUUCUGCUUUACAUGCCAUUACGUGUUUAUAUAUACUGCUUUACAUGCCAUUCUUAUUCUCUUUAUUUGGGGUACUAUAUUCUCUAAAUACAAGACAGGUAUGCCGAUAAGCGACUUUCAUACUAGGUACUCGUCAUAUGUUCUGCAAAGCCAUUGGUGAGUUUCUCUCUUAUCUAGAGUUAAUAGAUGUUUAAUACUCUUUGGUCAUGUUUUUAGUUAUAGUUGGGUUUAUUAAGGCCUUUGUCUUAAUAACAUUACAUUAUACGGAUACAGAUUCUAUUAGAGGCUUCGUAGAUAGUAUUAAAUUAUCUUAUGUAAUUAUAGUUUCACUCGUCUAUAUCAGUUGGGUUCAAUGGGUUAGAAUUAUGCAUUUACAUAGGCCUAAUAAUUAUUAAGAAAUGGUAACUAUUCUACUUGUAAGAUAUGGCAAUUUCAUAGCACAAGCGUAUACGGUUCUUGUCUGCUCUAUCUAGGCGUAGAGCAAUACAUAUAUCAUACAAGAAGGCUUCGUAGUAGCUCGUAGCAUGUUUCUCUCCCUUGAAUCUGAAAUCAACUGUUGGAAUCAUAAGUGAGGUCUCAUAGGAGCCACUAGAAUAUGCAUUUCACUCACAAAAGUAAGAGAAACAGUGUUAUCGAUGCACAAGAAAACAACGGUAUGCUGAUAGGGCCAUUUGUCCAACCCAAUAUGAGAAUAUGAACACUUAACUAAAACAUAGUACAACCAGUUUAUCCAAGUUAGAAACAAACAUACGCUUAGUAUAUUAAAUUUCAAAUAAGUAGUUUAGUAUUUCAAAUAAUAAGUCAACAUAUUAUCACCAAGUCAAGUUCAGUUAAGACAAGUCAAGAAGUUAAAAAAUUAUCAAUCGUAUAAAUAUAUUCUCUGGUUCACUCAUGAAACCGUCAAUUCACCUGACCCCCGUACAUAUAUAAUACAUCGACCCUCUAGCCAUGACAUAUAGGGGACAAAUUUCCCAUCAUGUUGGAUACUAUAACUUACACCAACCCCUAAGGUAAAGUUCACGAUCAUUCCCUUCUCAUUCUACGACUUUUCUACCAUAAUUCACCUAAACUAUCAAUUUCAUAAAUAAAUUAGUGAAUUAAUAGGAUGCAAAGAUGAAUUAAUUGUUAAUAAUGAAAAACCCAUUAAAUUAUUAUUUAUUCUCUCCCUUGCACUAGAAAACAACUAAAAUCAGCUUGAACCUUCCUUGAACUUCAAAAUUUAGCAAUUCUAAGGCUUAAAUAUCCGUUUCUAUUUAAUAGGGAAGAAAUUCUUACCUUAACAAAGUUGAAUAAUGAAAAUUUGGUAAAAAUUUCAUUUAAAUUGAUUCUUCUCUGCCCUAAAACACAUUAAGAAAAAUAAACUAUUUUUGAAAAAAAAUAAAAAAAAUUUGUGACUUUCACCAUUAUAGCGGUCGUUGACCAGGUUUGACCACUGCUAUAGUGGGAAUUUCUCUUUUAUUGUGAUAGUUGCUAUAUCAACGUGUAGGUUUCUAUAGAAGCAUCGAUGGUAUAGAAUGUUUAGUGGAACUUGAAAUUUCUAAUUUUUAUAGCACACCUUAAACUAGAGACAUUUCAAAUAAUGUUUUUUACUCUAAGAUCAAUUUCGGGAGUUCUACUCAUCCAAAUUUAAUUUCAUAAAUUCCUAUAGGUUUCUUAUUGUUUUAGCUAACUAAAACCAAAUCAAACACCAUCAAACUUCCCAACUCAUUUUCGAAUUUAUCUAUACCAUACCUCUCUCUAAUUUUGAUCAAAACUAGCCUAGUCUAGAAUUUAAAACUUUAAAAUCAAGAAUAAUUUUAGCAAGAAAUUUUUAAUGGGAUUUUUAUACAUAACAUUAGAAAUGGUUGUUACAACAUCGAGAUCAUGAUUUUCAUAAUGUUGCUGAUGAUAUUGAUGAAAAUGACGUUGAUACUAAAAUUAUGAAGUUAAUUAUGUCAAUAAUUAUAUUUAUGAGAUUGAGAAGAGAAAUAGAUCAUGUACACAUAUUGUAUUCAUACUUCCAUUCAUAUGCAUGGAAUGUACAUUUAUAUUUAUAUGUGGGUGAUGGUUCCUUUAGUGAAUUGAGUUAUGUUGAUGCAAUAUCAUGGUUCCUUGUGUGGACUAGUUAUUUCAUGAGGUACAAUGAUUCCUUGAGUGGACUAGUUAUGUUGAUGGAUAUGAUUUUUCAUGGUAGAAAAGUGUGAGUGUAAGGUUAAGUAUAAAUAUUGCUCUCUUAUGUUAUUUAGAGUUGCAAAGUUGAUGUAUAUUGUAGUGUCCUUGAUUGUAAAGUUGUUGAGAUUAGUAAUUGUCUUUGUUGUUGCAAUUUCGAUGGUUAGUGGUAGUAUAGAGAGUGAGGAUUUUCAUGAAAGAAGAUUAAUGAGAGAGAGAAAGUAUAUAGAGUUGCUAAAAUAAGGCAAUUGUGUAAGAAUUGAGGCUUAGAUUAAUCAAUGAAAGGUAGUUAAUAAGUCAUACCCCAAGGGUAAAUUAAUAUUGGUUAAAUAAAAGAAAGGUGAUAAGGUUAGAAGUCGAAGUAAGUUAAGUAUCCUCAAUUAUUAAGCAUGUAUGCUUAUCACGAUCUUCUUAUUUGCUAUAUGUUGUUAUAAAUUUCUAACCCCGGUCGACUGGUGAUACCUAUUAAUACGUAUAGUUUAACGAUACUACACUUACUAUAUCUCCAUUUGGGGAUCUAGCCAUGUUGUAAGUACAACAAUGUCUAUUUUGUAGCAGCUUUUGUCAUCCUUAUCCUACAUGAAUAUUAUGUUUUGGGUGAUUCCUCUAUCUGUUUAGUGCUCUUGUACCAUCUUAGAAUAGAUUCUAGAAAGUUUAGUAAAAUUCCACAUUGUAUCAUUUUGUAAUAAAGUUUUAUUUUUGAAUAAGAAAGGUUAUUUAUUGAUGGAUUUAUUUAUGUUUAUGGUUUAAUAAUGUUUUUCACAAUAAUUGAAUGAUUGGGUUGUAAGUGUUCUCCUAUCUAGGCUAGAGUUGGUAGGUGACUGCAUGAUACAUGAUUUGGUUUAUGACACAUUAGUUGCAUCAGAAGCUUGGCCAAGAGUUUCAAGUCGUAAAUGGACCUUCAAGAAUUUUUUAGAGUUUCAUGAACCCAAACUAAAAUGCUAUCUAUCAAAAUGACAUUGCAAACUCAAUUGAAUGGACAAAAUUCCAAUGCAGGUUAUUUCGAUAUAUAGGCCAAAGCACAUCUUUUCCAUUUACACUAAAAUUCAUCCAAUAACCCAAAAUAAGUCUAGAAGUGGAAGGUCCCCCUAUCUCAAAACCCACAUUUUCGAGCUAUCAAAUCUGUCAAAAUUUUCAUUUGAGGACAUUUACUAGAAGUUUUGAUUAUAGUCAAACUUCUUAUCUUUAAAAGCUUCAAAAUAGAGAAAUUGACUUAGAACUCAAAUGAAAUGCUCGAGAAUCGAACCUAUUCCAUCAAGUCAUAAUUGACCUGUAGCAACUAGAAGAAAGCUCAAAAUGCAAAAAUGGUAGAAAAAUAAAGAAAAUGACCUGGAGGGUCAGUACAUAUAAAUUUAGCACAAUGAACUCACAAAAGAUAGUAAUAUUCAAUUAAAAGAUUUAAUCGAAGUGUAACUUUUAUUUGACAUAUGUAAUAUAAUGGCUGUAAAAAAAUAAAUAAAGAAUGAAUUGAUUAAAAAAAUAAAUUCCGUUGCUUUGUUUUUUAUUUUAUCUUAUUUCUUGCUAGAGGUGAUUUCUCGCAUCCUUGAUCUAGUUCAAAGCUUGAGCUUCUCCAGUUUGGCUAUAAAAUGGAAUAUGAAAAAUAAUUCAAUAAAUAGAAAUGAAUAGUAUUUAAGUCCCCUAAUAAAUAAAUGAUUCACCAUAUAACCUAUAGUAUUUCUGCUAAAUUGAAUUUAUAUUGAAAUAUUUGAUAUUUAAAAAAUAAUAAAUCAUUGUUUCUAUCUACCCUUGAAGCUCCCAAUAAGUAGAUUAUAUUAAUUAAAUGAGACAUUUGGAAGAAAAUGACACCAAGGAUAGAUUAGAUAAAUAUAAUCAUAUUUUUAAAAUUAUUAAUUAUCUUUCUAAAGAGAUGCAUAAAGAUAUCCAAGAAUCUUAAAAGCUUAAUAAUAUGAACCAAAGAUAUUAAAAUGAAAGGUACCUUUGUCCACCAUCUUAAAAUCACAGUCAGCCUCACAAUGCGCGAUGCUCUCGCCCUUCCAUAUGCUCGGGUCGUAGCACCUAUUAUAGCACUAAUCAUUCAAAAGAGCGGCAGAGACCUGCACAAUUGAUAACACAUCCAUACACAUUAGAAAUAUUGUUACAAGUUUAUUUGCCUCCUUUUUUUCAUGAAGGUUAAUUUUUUGUUUUUUUGUUAAUAGAUUUUGCUUCUUUUUAUUUUGGCUAGUUUUUUGUGCUUUGCUUUAAAAGCCUUGAAG